GGUUUAAUUCGAAGCAACGCGCAAAACCUUACCUGGGCUUGAAAUCCUGCGAACUAACUAGAGAUAGUAUGGUGCCCUUCGGGGAACGCAGUGACAGGUGCUGCAUGGCUGUCGUCAGCUCGUGUUGUGAAAUGUUGGGUUAAGUCUCGCAACGAGCGCAACCCCUAUCUUUAGUUGCCAGCAUUAAGUUGGGCACUCUAGAGAGACUGCCUGAGUUAACCAGGAGGAAGGUGGGGAUGACGUCAAGUCCUCAUGGCCCUUAUGUCCAGGGCUACACACGUAAUACAAUGGUGCAUACAGAGGGAAGCGACCUGGUGACAGUGAGCAAAUCUCAAAAAGUGCAUCUCAGUCCGGAUUGGAGUCUGCAACUCGACUCCAUGAAGUUGGAAUCGCUAGUAAUCGUGGAUCAGCAUGCCACGGUGAAUACGUUCCCGGGCCUUGUACACACCGCCCGUCACACCAUGGGAGUUGAUCUUACCUGAAGCCGUGACCCUAGCCUUCGGGAGGGGAGCGUCUACGGUCGGAUCGAUGACUGGGGUGAAGUCGUAACAAGGUAGCCGGCG
rnacentral:rRNA from 1 species